AUUGACCCGGCGCGUUGAGUCCGAUGCGCGCGCACUCUCUCUGUGGUCUAGAACCAUCCUAGCCUAGCUCAAACGACCACGCGAUGCCGGCACCUUGUGAAUCCUGUAAAAGUACUUGUAGCGGCGGGAAGGCAGCCUGUGGGGCAUCAUGCACCUGCGGGCCGUCCUGCGCUUGCGGCGAUGGCAACAAGCCAUGCUGCCAGGGAAAGUAAACCUCUCAAAGAUUCCAGAUUCUUCUUAAAGGCUAUAUUUUACUAUUAUCUAAUCGCAUAGUUAUAUAAUUAAUAGUUUAUCGCAAAUAAUGUAGUUGAUAUCUGAAAAUUCUAACAUAAAAAUAUUGUGUCGUCAUGAAAUGAAAGUUUAAAUAUAACUUAUGACUAGCUUAAUGUUUAGAAUAGUUUUUUGCUUAUUGGCUAUAAUAUAAGUGUUAGUGAAAUUUUAUUAUAUUCAAUGUUUAAAUCUAAAUGUAUUCUUGUAAUAAAAGAGUCCCUAGUACUUCAAAUACUCAUUAAUUUAAUAUUGUGAGCAUACACACAAUUGUGUGCAAGAGUAGUAUUAUAUUUAGUAUAAGAAA